UCUCUCUCUCUCUCUCUCUCUCUCUCUCUCUCUCUCUCUCUCUCUCUCUCUCUCUCUCUCUCUCUCUCUCUCUCUCUCUCUCUCUCUCUCUCACAUCCGCUCUUCUAUUCCACCCCCAUACCACGUUUACUCUCCCAACUCCCUACCCACUUCCCUCCUCCCCACCCUAUCCCUGGCAACCUUUCCCUCCUUAAUGGGUGCCAAACUUCUCCUUGAUGGUCUUGUAACAUUGUGAGGAUCAUAAUAUUUAUUGUUAGGCUUUGUAGAAAAAAAUGUUCAAUUAUUUUUAUGCUAUGUGUGUGUGUGUGUGUGUGUGUGUGUGUGUGUGUGUGUGUGUGUGUGUGUGUGUGUGUUAUAGAUAUGUGUAAUGUGUGUGUGAGAGGUAGUACUUGUUUGCAUUUGUAGUAUAUCUCUUCAAGUCAAUGUACAUAGUUAGUUCCUGUAGGUGCUUUAAUGAGUAGCAUUUUAAUAAUUUUUAAUAUUAUUCUAUUUUUAUGAGUGCCAGCCCAGUGGUGUAGUGCAUUGUUUAACACUCAGCAAGUUCUGGAUUCCAACUUCUUGCUAGGUGGAGACAGUUUGGCUUCAUUUAGCAGAGAAUAGGAAUGGAACCCAAGCUGAGGACCUUGCAGCCCAGCAAGAGUGGAAAGCUAUAGUCUUGCCCUCCUGUGUGUGUGUGUGUGUGUGUGUGUGUGUGUGUGUGUGUGUGUGUGUGUGUGUGUGUGUGUUGAAAUGAAAGCUCUAAAUGGUCUGCAUCACACCCUUAGUGGUAAACUGGCAUAAGUAUGAACAAACACAAUAAAUAAUCAGAUAUAGAUGUAUAGCAUAGGCAAUGAUGAAGCAUAUGGAUAGUUUAUGAAGCUUUACUAAUCUUUAAAGGUUUAUAUAAAAGUCACUGCUAAAAGGUUUAUGUGUAGAAAAUUACUUUAUUUGAGUCAUGGCUACAGUCUCCAGCCAGCACAGUGCCUUUGUCUCAUUCAGUGAAGUGCAGGAGCAACAGUGUCUCCAAAACACUGUGUUUGACAGUGCUAAACACAGCCACUAGUCAUUGUAGUGGUGGCUGGGCACUAAAUGGAGCCACAAGUCAGAUGUGAGGUGUCAGCGAAGUCGUCAGGGAAGGUGUUGGUGUUGUCUCACGUGCAGGGUAUCUGAAGUGUCUUUGAAUGCUGGAAAAAGGUGCUGAGUACUGAGUACAGUGUUUGUGGAGUAUAUCUAUAUUUUUAUGAAGUUGUUUAGUAGAGUGACAGGUGACCAAGGUUAUGUCUUGUGUUGGAGAAAGGUUACAAUCAGAGACAGCUACUUAAUGUAUCACAGUAUUCUCACACUGUAUCUCUUAAGUGUCAUUGCACAGCUCUCCUUGCUGAAGCUGAUCAUAGAAGUGGCUUAACUGUACAACUACUAUUUAAUAAAUUAAUGAAUAGA